GCCCGGGUGCUGGAAUUGGUAGACAGUGUGGCCUUAAGAGCCAUUGCUCCUAAAAGAGCGUGUGGGUUCGAGUCCCUCCCCGGGCA
rnacentral:tRNA from 1 species